GUCUCCUGCCAUAUCAGCCUGAAGGCACCCAACCUCGUCUAAUCUUCGAAGCUAUGCAGGGUCAGGCAUGGUUAGUACUUGGAUGGGAGACCACCUGGGAAUACCGGGUGCUGUAGGCU
ensembl:rRNA 5S_rRNA 5S ribosomal RNA